AAAACUAUUAUUCCGAGCGGUGGAUCACUCGGCACAU
rnacentral:rRNA from 1 species